rnacentral:rRNA from 1 species
GUGGGGAAUCUUGCGCAAUGUGCGAAAGCCUGACGCAGCCAUGCCGCGUGAAUGAUGAAGGUCUUAGGAUUGUAAAAUUCUUUCACCGGGGACGAUAAUGACGGUACCCGGAGAAGAAGCUCCGGCUAACUUCGUGCCAGCAGCCGCGGUAAUACGAAGGGGGCUAGCGUUGCUCGGAAUUACUGGGCGUAAAGGGCGCGUAGGCGGACAGCUUAGUCAGAGGUGAAAGCCCAGGGCUCAACCUUGGAAUUGCCUUUGAUACUGGCUGUCUUGAGUUUGGGAGAGGUGAGUGGAACUCCGAGUGUAGAGGUGAAAUUCGUAGAUAUUCGGAAGAACACCAGUGGCGAAGGCGACUCACUGGCCCAAUACUGACGCUGAGGCGCGAAAGCGUGGGGAGCAAACAGGAUUAGAUACCCUUGUAGUCC